rnacentral:rRNA from 1 species
UACACUCCUGGGGAGGCAGCAGUGGGGAAUAUUGGACAAUGGGCGCAAGCCUGAUCCAGCCAUGCCGCGUGAGUGAUGAAGGCCCUAGGGUUGUAAAGCUCUUUCACCGGUGAAGAUAAUGACGGUAACCGGAGAAGAAGCCCCGGCUAACUUCGUGCCAGCAGCCGCGGUAAUACGAAGGGGGCUAGCGUUGUUCGGAUUUACUGGGCGUAAAGCGCACGUAGGCGGACUAUUAAGUCAGGGGUGAAAUCCCGGGGCUCAACCCCGGAACUGCCUUUGAUACUGGUAGUCUUGAGUUCGAGAGAGGUGAGUGGAAUUCCGAGUGUAGAGGUGAAAUUCGUAGAUAUUCGGAGGAACACCAGUGGCGAAGGCGGCUCACUGGCUCGAUACUGACGCUGAGGUGCGAAAGCGUGGGGAGCAAACAGGAUUAGAAACCCUAGUAGUCCCAUG